AUUAUUUCGUGCGUUUCAUUUCCUGUUAAAUUGGCCGACCGGUGUUUGAUUGCCACGUUUUAACUCUGCAAAAUGCCUGAGAGCUUAUUUUCAGUGGUGAAGAAAUUCACAGAUGAGUAUAUAAACAGUACUCCGAAGAAAUUGAAGAUCGUAGAUGCAUAUUUGUUCUACAUUCUGCUGACAGGCGUCAUCCAGUUCAUGUACUGUGCGCUGGUCGGAACAUUCCCUUUCAAUUCUUUCCUGUCUGGUUUCAUCUCUAGCGUCGGUUCAUUCGUUUUGGGAGUAUGUUUGCGGCUACAAGUGAAUCCACAGAAUAAACACGACUUUACAGGAAUUGGUCCAGAAAGAGCAUUUGCUGACUUUAUUUUUGCCCAUAUUAUUUUACACUUGGUUGUUGUCAACUUCAUUGGAUAGAAGAUUAUGGUAUGGGUGAUGGGAAGAAAAGCGACUAUGUAAUGUAGAGACAAUGAAGAGACCAAUCUCACCAUUUCACUGGUUUAGAAAACAGUCUUCAACAAUACAGAUGAUGUCAGAUGUGCAUAUUUUUCAUGUAAAAAAAUCCAUGUUAUCAUUUAUAAUAUAAUAUCACAGGUGUAUGUAGUGAAAUUAAAUGUUGUUACAGUAAACUAUUGUGCAUUGUGUUUUCUCUAUAUAGAGUUCAUUUUUAGCUCGUCAGGGACUGACAUUUAAUUUGGUAUGUAACUUUCAAGAAUUUAAAUAAAUGUAUACCUACCUGUAAGUUUUUUUUUUUGUGAGAAAAAAAGAAAAGAUAAACAACUAAGAUCUGUUAAAAGGAAAUUAUGGAAUAUGUAUUAUUUAUUCUUUAUUAUAUGAUUGUGACUAUCUACUGGUCUGGUGCAUAAAUGCAUUUAAUUCUGGAGAAAGGCAUUAUUAGUGAUUAUCUAUGAGAUAAGAUCUUGGAACAUGAUAUAUGUGUUAGGUUCACUAUAGCAAAAGGGGCAAUCCGAUAGG